rnacentral:rRNA from 1 species
UACGUAGGUGGCAAGCGUUGUCCGGAAUUAUUGGGCGUAAAGCGCGCGCAGGCGGUCCUUUAAGUCUGAUGUGAAAGCCCACGGCUCAACCGUGGAGGGUCAUUGGAAACUGGGGACUUGAGUACAGAAGAGGAAAGCGGAAUUCCACGUGUAGCGGUGAAAUGCGUAGAGAUGUGGAGGAACACCAGUGGCGAAGGCGGCUUCUGGUCUGUAACUGACGCUGAGGCGCGAAAGCGUGGAGAGCAAACAGG